GAUGAAGAACGUAGCGAAAUGCGAUAAGUAAUGUGAAUUGCAGAAUUCUGUGAAUCAUCGAAUCUUUGAACGCACAUUGCGCCCGCUAGUAUUCUGGCGGGCAUGCCUGUUCGAGCGUCAUUUCAACCAUCAAGCCCUGUUUAGGCUUGUGUUGGGGCCCUGCGGUUGCCGCAGCCCCCUAAAUGCAGUGGCGGGCUCGUUGUCACUCCGAGCGCAGUAGCGUAUCUCGCUCUGGGCGUGGCGGCGGGUGCUAGCCGUGAAACACCCACUAAGGUUGACCUCGGAUCAGGUAGGAAUACCCGCUGAACUUAAGCAUAUCAAUAAGCGGAGGA
rnacentral:misc_RNA from 1 species